UCCUACGGGAGGCAGCAGUGGGGAAUAUUGCACAAUGGGGGAAACCCUGAUGCAGCAACGCCGCGUGAAGGAUGAAGGUUUUCGGAUUGUAAACUUCUUUAGUCGGGGACGAAUAAAUGACGGUACCCGAAGAAUAAGCCACGGCUAACUACGUGCCAGCAGCCGCGGUAAUA
rnacentral:rRNA from 1 species